CUAAUUUGUAAUUAAGUUCUAGCGAAGUGGCAUGAAGGAUACUAUAUAGGCUCUUAAUUAUUUUUUGUUGUUUAAAUCAUCUGUAGAUUGGAGCAAGGGGGAAGGAACAAGAGAAAGCUCAGCGUGAUGUUAUCUUCUGUACAUGCCACAGCAAUUCCAAGAACAAAAUGGCAGCCAUCUCUGCUCACAGGCAAGAGUUCUUUAGAAAUUUAAAGGUAUCCCCAUCAACGACUCCAGGAUCAACCCAUCUGAAGCUCUUAGUACCAUUUCAGCAGCUGCCGUGGCAACUUAAAUCAUCAUUUUAUAGGUUCUGAAAGUUACAGCCACAAGAGGCCAGAUUUAGACCCUUCUCAUGAACAAAUGAGGAAGCCUGAAGUGAAUAGCCACCUAGAAGUCUCCAUAGCAUGCACUCAUUGAACAUCAGUGCAGAAGGAGGUUUCUUGGAUUAGCCAAGUGCUUGCUGACUCACUGCAGUACUAAAGACCUUUCUGCUGAACCUGGACCUCAUAAACCCUAGCCUCUUCUGUGGGGCUGGGGAAAAGGGCUGAUAGUGUGAUCAAUAAAAUUCACACAUUCUUCAUUUUUCAUACUCUACCAGAAAGCUAAUGUCUGGUUCUGGAAAAAAUCCUGUUCUUCACAUUAUGCUCCAAGUUUAAUUACAUCAGAAGAUAUGAACAAAGUACAUUCUAGUAGACCACAGUCCUGCCUGCAUCUCAACAGUACAACACUGGAAGUGUCCUCACACUGUCUGUUUAACAAUGUGCUGCAGUACCCCCACUUGCUUCAUAUCAAUAGGCUCAGAACUCCCAAGACGUGUAACUCCUCCCCAAACCUUUUUUUUUUUUUGGUCAAUGGAGGGCAAGUUUUGUUCAACAGAUUCCUAACCCCUCUUUUCUUCUUUGCAUCUGCAAGUUACGCAACAUCACAUCUGCUUUACCAUCUGGCAUUUCAAGUAUCUGACUGCUCUAGGUAUUCAGUUUCUAUCACAUACUCAAUACCAGUUCACUACCAUGUGAAUAUUUGGACAUCUUGCAUUCAUUAUCAAGUUAAAUUGUUGGAUCAUAUUAAAGAAGUUCUGUAUUAAAAUCACAUGAGUUUGAUUCCCUAUAGUUUAAAUUCCAGGGUAUUACUAAUUAAGAGGUCUCU